rnacentral:rRNA from 1 species
CUACGGGAGGCAGCAGUGGGGAAUCUUAGUCAAGGCGCAGCCUGAUCAGCCAUGCCGCGUGAGUGAUGAAGGCCCUAGGGUUGUAAAGCUCUUUCACCGGUGAAGAUAAUGACGGUAGCCGGAGAAGAAGCCCCGGCUAACUCCGUGCCAGCAGCCGCGGUAAUACGGAGGGGGCUAGCGUUGUUCGGAAUUACUGGGCGUAAAGCGCACGUAGGCGGGUAUCCAAGUUGGGGGUGAAAUCCCGGGGCUCAACCCCGGAACUGCCUCCAAAACUGGGUACCUAGAGUCCGAGAGAGGUGAGUGGAAUUCCCAGUGUAGAGGUGAAAUUCGUAGAUAUUGGGAAGAACACCAGUGGCGAAGGCGGCUCACUGGCUCGGUACUGACGCUGAGGUGCGACAGCGUGGGGAGCAAACAGGAUUAGAUACCCUGGUAGUCCACGCCGUAAACGAUGAGAGCUAGUUGUCGGGCAGCAUGCUGUUCGGUGACGCAGCUAACGCAUAAGCUCUCCGCCUGGGGAGUACGGUCGCAAGAUUAAAACUC